ensembl:lncRNA
GGGCGGAGCUACAGAAUUCAGUCACGUGGGGGAACACAGGUGAGAACACUCAGACAGAGACAGGGGGAAACACAGAGCCACGUGCAGGAAAACACGGGACAAUAAACAGACAGGACCAGGAAAGACACAGAACAGGACCAGAACAUGACAGUAAAUAUAAGAAACUGUGCAUUUUUAUGUAUUUUAUCAGUUUUUUCAGGUUGCAGUUUCAGGUGUGUGAUGUUCUCCGUGGUCUCUGUGGACCCGGGCUGAGAGGAGCUGCUGCUCUCCUGUAGGAAACGCUGUGGUUCGGCAGCUGGUUUGACAGCGUGACUCUGACAUUUGGUUCUGUGGUUUAAACCGUCCGUCCAGCUCAGAGCUCAGGAGCUCCAGAGAAUCAAACAGCAGCUGCUGCUUCACCUACAUGCAGUUAGAGAACAGGACAGAAUGAAGCAGGGCUUAAAGAUCUGCUCAGUCCCUCCAUCCAGACUAACAGCAUCAGGAGAUCAAAGCACGCAGAGGUCUUGGCCAGACAUGAGACGCUCCUCCUGCAAUCUGUUCCCGUCUCGUUACCGCCUCGCCCGCUCUCUCACAGGGGCCAAACACAAGGCCGGCUUCAGGCGGCCCCCCCUCCGGGAGACCUGGACCACUUCCCACAUGGCUGUUCUGGAAGUCACCCAAGCCAAACAUCAUCAGCACCCGCCACGGCUCCUCCCAGGGAGAAACCGGCUACCUUUGUGUUCUGGUAUUGAUCUUCACGCCUCGAGACUCCAAAGACUAUCAGCUCCACCUCCUUUCAGACCCACAGCAUCGAGUCGUUUUCUCACAGCGGGAGGAUGAACAGAAACACCUGUGGAUGAUCUCAGAUCUGAGGCGAGAGCAGAGGAUGAAGAUGAAAGCUAGAGAUCCUGCAGGACGAGUGGCGCUGAGGUCUGAACAGCGGGAAUCAGCAGCAGCAGCAGCGGCAGGACAGUCUGAGCAGAUGAAGAAUUACGGGAAGGACGAGACUGAAGCUAAGUUAAUUAAAAAUCAGUCGAGUUAAAGCAGUUGAAUCACUGGAGCAAUAAUUGAUUGUGUUAGCUGUAUCGAAUGAUAUCAGAAAAUAGGAAUUCUCCUAAAUGGGAGAGGACAGGAUAUCGAGAGAGAGGACGCGAGAGGCGCUAGGUGCUGCAGGAAGCAAUUACCAUCGAUAAUUUUUUUCUAAUAAACUUGUAUCCUUCAGAUGAUAACCAAUUAAACAUGCGUAAUUACGGCUCCCGUAUAGUUAUUCAUAAGACGAUUAGCAUGUCUGCCUUACUUCUAGAUUAGCCGCAUACUGAUGAGGCGCAGGUUAAGCGGCGGAUCUGGUGAUACACAUGCAAAUUUCAUGCAAAUGUGCGUGCAAAAAUAGCAGGGAGGCGACGUCAUUAAUGGCGUUGCUAAUAGGUCAUUUGCAUGCUGUUUACUCUGAUUGUACUGACGACAGGAGUCACCGGAACCGGCCGGUUCUACAGAGGCCUGGCGAGGAGCGGCGGGUCCACUGGCGGGUCCACUGGCGGGUCCACUGGCGGGUCCACUGGCAGGUCCACUGGCGGGUCCUCUGGCAGGUCCACUGGCAGGUCCAACGAAGAGCCAGAACUCAUCAUUUACAUCAUAGGUACUUUGUGGACGACAGCAGAGUGUUUCCAGCCUCUACGCAUAUUUCUGAUAUAAAACAUACAGCUAUAGGAUAUCAUAUAUGCUUCCUGCUUCUGUGCCGUUCAGACGCUUCUCUGCUUAGCUCUGCUAUCUUUCAUACUUUUCUUUAUUUUUAGACAUUUUAGAGCUACAGUGUCUGAGCUCAUUAUUUAGAUUAGCACUAGCACUACCAUAUUUUGUUUCUUAUUUUAUGUUUUCUAGUUUCUUUUGGACAUUUUAUAGUAGAGCCAUAGGCACAGGAAUCAGACAGGUUUCUGUAGAGUACUAAAGAAGAAAUCUACAAGAUGCCUCCUGGUGUGGGGUCAGAGCACCUGUGCUGCCAGAACUGCUACAAUCUUCUACAAAGAAUGACUGUUUUGGAAACAAAUUUUCGGUCCUUGUUAUCAGAGUUUAAG